UCCCUGGUGGUCUAACGGCUAAGGAUCCUGUGCGCUCACCGCCAAGGCCUGGGUUCGAUUCCUGGCCAGGGAC